UUCCAUCACUAGUACCAGUAAUAACAUCAGUUUGAUAGAAUCAACAAGGGGAAGAUCCUCUGAGCGGUUGAAAAUGUCGUUAACAAGAUUCAGGAAUCUUUCAUAUAUCGAGUGCUCUAUGAUAGGUACCGCCAUACGAUGCAAGCCCUAAAUUCAAUGGCCACGGCUAUUAUGAGUUUCGUUUCCAAGUACGGUACAGUUUUUGUGGUCACGGAAGUCAGAAAAAGCGUUAUUGAAAUUGAAACUUUUUAAAUUCGGAAAGCUUUUACUCAUUGGUUUAACUUGAAUUCCUUUACAAUUUCUUCUGUCUUUUUCUUUGGUAGGAAUGUCAUUUGACAAAAUAUGUAUAACGAUUUUUAAUAAAUUUAUUUCUUUAGUGAAAUUGUAUGGAAAUGAAAA